GGGGCUGAUUUGGAUUCGACCUCGAGUAGAAGCGCCAAGUGCAUGCCGAGCUUGUAGAACAUCUCGUAAAUCUGUCUGCAAACGAUAGUCGCAAACGACAAUCAAUUCGCUCUCGCCGCUUAAGGCGGAGCCGCUGAAGCCAUAGGUUAACUCACCCCUAGGUAUUUUCAGCGUCAGAAAUGUGAGGGUAGGCACGAAACCUUGUCGUUGGGGUUAGGCCGAAGCACUACAGCGAAUCUCCUGAAGUGAGCCUGUCGAUUGGCGCAUGAUUGGAGUACAAACAAUCGACUAAGCAUGUAGUACGUAACGAAGAAGCUUGUGGCACGCCGGUUCGACCCCGGCCAGCUCCACCA
rnacentral:tmRNA from 1 species